rnacentral:rRNA from 1 species
UACGUAGGUGGCAAGCGUUGUCCGGAUUUACUGGGCGUAAAGAGCGCGCAGGCGGUCGUUCAAGUCGCGUGUGGAAGCCCCCGGCUCAACUGGGGAGGGUCACGCGAUACUGAUCGACUCGAAGGCAGGAGAGGGAAGUGGAAUUCCCGGUGUAGUGGUGAAAUGCGUAGAUAUCGGGAGGAACACCAGUGGCGAAGGCGACUUCCUGGCCUGUUCUUGACGCUGAGGCGCGAAAGCUAGGGGAGCAAACGGG